GAUGAACGCUGGCGGCGUGCCUAAUACAUGCAAGUCGAGCGAACAGACGAGGAGCUUGCUCCUCUGACGUUAGCGGCGGACGGGUGAGUAACACGUGGAUAACCUACCUAUAAGACUGGGAUAACUUCGGGAAACCGGAGCUAAUACCGGAUAAUAUAUUGAACCGCAUGGUUCAAUAGUGAAAGACGGUUUUGCUGUCUCUUAUAGAUGGAUCCGCGCCGCAUUAGCUAGUUGGUAAGGUAUCGGCUUACCAAGGCAACGAUGCGUAGCCGACCUGAGAGGGUGAUCGGCCACACUGGAACUGAGACACGGUCCAGACUCCUACGGGAGGCAGCAGUAGGGAAUCUUCCGCAAUGGGCGAAAGCCUGACGGAGCAACGCCGCGUGAGUGAUGAAGGUCUUCGGAUCGUAAAACUCUGUUAUUAGGGAAGAACAAAUGUGUAAGUAACUAUGCACGUCUUGACGGUACCUAAUCAGAAAGCCACGGCUAACUACGUG
rnacentral:rRNA from 1 species